CCUUCUUUUCCUCCCCCUUCCCUUCAGCCAUUCCAAGGGCUUUUUAUAAUUUGUGAAGGGAAAACUGCCAACAGCUCAAGAUGUCAAGGCCAUCCCUCAAAACUCACUCGGAACCCCAAACCUGGUGCCUGUGCUGCUCAGGCCC